ACCACGAAACACGUCAAAGCCCUACUUCUUAUAGGCUGAACCCCAUGGAAAAGCGAACCAAUGGAUUAGUAUCAGGGGGUAAAUGCGUAAUACCACAUGAAACCUAACGUCGUAAUCCAAAAGUGCCAUUAAAAAGUCACUGUGCGUCUGUGACUCAUCAGCUCCCCCCUUAGCGAUUUCAGUGAGAGAAAGAGAGAGAAAUGAGGAAGAGAGAGAGAGAGAGAGAGACAGAGAGACGUACGGCAGGCUGGUGUUUCUCCAGAUUCAUGGUGUAAUCUGUUUCACUCUCUCUCUCUAGAACCUUGUGAUUGUGAACGGUUUGAUCUCUGAAGCACUAGCGGCAGAUGGUGAAUGGUUUCUCUUUUUCAAAUGUAAUUUGAGGAAUGAAAGCCAGAUAACUUAGAUUCUGAUGAUGAUUAAUUGUUAUCUGAUGAGCAGAAAAUAUUAUAGUAAUCAUGCUAUUUUAGGAAAAUCAAUUUCUGGAUCUGAUCUUUCUUAUUGUAGAUUCUUAGCAUAUGAAUAACAUGUGUUCUGUAGGUUUAGAUUUCUAUGAAAAUAGGUGAAUUUGCUUUUAACCUUCUUUUCUUCCCCUAUUGGAUUUCAAUCUUUAGACAUAGCCUAAAUAUAUACGUACUAUUUUUUAUUCAUUGUAUCUUAUUUUUUCCUAUAUAAUUGUUUACUGGCUUUUUUGAGUUUUUUAUAAGUUGGAUUUUUUUUUAUUAUAUCACUUUAUCAAGUUGGACUUGUUAUGGUUGAAUCCUACCGUUUUACGGUUAAGUGCACUUUACAUUUGGGAAAAAGAGAAGAUAAAGUAAAUUUGUUGUAUUUUUAGCUAUUAAUCUGCUUCAUAUUGAAUUCAUUACAUUGCUCUCAAUUGCAUGAUUUGGUGUUCUUUAUGAUUGGUUGUUAUGUUUAAUGAAUAUUCCAUUUUAGUGAUAUUGGCUUUUGUUGUCCUUUUGCUAGCAUUUUCUCUUCUUGUUUUGCUGAAAUUGUGGCCUGUUCUAUCACUCUCUUCAGAAGACCCAAAGCAUGUUUGUUUUUUCUAAGUUUUACAUUUUUUUUUAAUGUCGGAAAAAAAAUGAAGUAGAUUUUUUUCUUUUUUUCUCCUUUUUUUUUUUUUUUUUUCCCUGAAUGAAUGAAGUUGAUAUAUUUGAUGUUCUUUGUACCAUAUUGUCCUCUUUGCUUUCUUUUCAUGCUUUUACCAGACUCGAUAUCUCUAAUCAAUAUUAUAUUAUUGAUGGAAGAUGAAGGCUGAGUAGUUUGGUAGGGGUUGCCCCAAUGGGUCAUUAAAUGUAGCAAAAAAAGAGUCAUUAAGUGCAUAGCUGUGCAUUAUUUUUUUCUUUUCUGUGUCGGCGAUGCCAGCUGUUUGGAAUCUUUUUGCAUAAGGAAAAGAAGUGUAAUACAUAUAUAUAUAUUUACUUGAAAUCUCAAUGAAAUGCAGCAAUUUGGUUUACCCUUUUGGUUUUGGCAGCAUGAUUGGCUGAUCAAAGGGAAAUAGAUAAAUAUUUUUAGACUUGUUUGUUUGUUUUUGUUUCCCAAUUUAUCGGUUCUGGAAUUUUUGGUCAUGGGAAUUAAUUCUCUGCCAAAAUUAUGUGUCAUUUUCACGAGCAGGUGGCCUGAAAAGAUUUCACUUGGUUUGUUUUACCGGUAAGGGAAAAAGGGUAUCUAAGAAAGAAAGUCUCAAAGUGGGAGACAAUCUUGUGUCAUUACUGCAUGAGAGUUUAAGGGAAACAAGUUUUCAGUUAUAAAAGGAGUACCAAGUUGCGUGAGAAUCUACUAUGUUGAUGUCACUCGUGGAAUCUGGUAUCAAAUUCCUUGUACUAUGGUUAGUAUGAAAGUCAAGCAGAAAUGGUAAGUUUUAGUCCCACCAAAGGAGCAACAAAAAAUAAAAAUAAAAUAAAAAUAAGUAGAAGUUAUUCUUCAAUGUUUGAAUAAGGAUGAAAAAGAAUAAGGAUCAGCUAGAAAGUACGAAAGGAGAAUCUUGGGGAUAUAUUAGUAAUUUUAGGAAUAUCCUUGUUAUAGUUUUUGGGUUUUUAUUUAGUAAAUAUAUCCUUAUUUUUGUUUUUUGGUGAAGAUAUCCUUGUUUUUGUUAUCUGUUCUGUUUUGAGUUGAAGAACAUUGUAAAAGUUAUUGUAAUUCUUAUGUAAGAUUCUUUUGAAAUGUUCUUUUGACUUUUACAUUAUUUGGCUGACUGUUUCUUUCUACUUUACCCAAAAAAUAGUAAUAACAAAAAAAUGAAACUGUUAAAUUGC